rnacentral:rRNA from 1 species
GACGAACGCUGGCGGCGUGCUUAACACACGCAAGUCGAACGAAGAGCGAUGGAAGCUUGCUUCUAUCAAUCUUAGUGGCGAACGGGUGAGUAACGCGUAAUCAACCUGCCCUUCAGAGGGGGACAACAGUUGGAAACGACUGCUAAUACCGCAUACGAUCUAAUCUCGGCAUCGAGGAAAGAUGAAAGGUGGCCUCUAUUUAUAAGCUAUCACUGAAGGAGGGGAUUGCGUCUGAUUAGCUAGUUGGAGGGGUAACGGCCCACCAAGGCGAUGAUCAGUAGCCGGUCUGAGAGGAUGAACGGCCACAUUGGGACUGAGACACGGCCCAGACUCCUACGGGAGGCAGCAGUGGGGAAUCUUCCGCAAUGGACGAAAGUCUGACGGAGCAACGCCGCGUGAGUGAUGACGGCCUUCGGGUUGUAAAGCUCUGUUAAUCGGGACGAAAGGCCUUCUUGCGAACAGUUAGAAGGAUUGACGGUACCGGAAGAGAAAGCCACGGCUAACUACGUG